UACGUAGGGUGCGAGCGUUAAUCGGAAUUACUGGGCGUAAAGCGUGCGCAGGCGGUUCGUUAAGUCCGAUGUGAAAGCCCCGGGCUCAACCUGGGAAUGGCAUUUGGGGCUGCAAGGCUUGAGUGCGGCAGAGGAGACUGGAAUUCCUGGUGUAGCAGUGAAAUGCGUAGAUAUCAGGAGGAAUACCGAUGGCGAAGGCAGGUCUCUGGGCUGACACUGACGCUCAUGCACGAAAGCGUGGGGAGCAAACAGG
rnacentral:rRNA from 1 species